ACACUUAGCAUAUUAGCCUUUUAUAUAUAUAGAUGUAUUUUUGGAAUAGGGAGAUGGAAUAGGAGCUUGCUCUGUCCACUCCACACAUCAACCUGGUAUUGCAGUACCUCCAGGAAUGGUGCACACACA
rfam:Myotis lucifugus cont2.14791, whole genome shotgun sequence.